AACGUCAAACGUUUGUUUUCCUUUGCGGGUCACAUGGCGAUGGCAAAUUGUCAAUUCUAUUCCACGGAUAUCGGAAUGUCGUGAUAAAAAUUGCUUCUAACAACGUAUUUCGACAUUUACUUUUAUAUUUAACGAGCGCGAAUUUUAAUUGUAAAUAUUAGAGCCUUAUUGUGAGAAUCAGAAUACACGUUGCUGUUGAGUGCGGUAUGUUGAUCAAUAAUAUAUUUGCAUAAAAUCGAUUAAUGACCUAAAUUAUUAUAUUCCGCCUUAUAAAUGUUUACAAGAAAAAUACCCAUCAAAUUUGUGCUAAAACAAAUUGAGUGAUAGUCAAAUUGAAAUACGACAAGGCAUGAUAUUCAUGAAGAAUGGCUGAAAAUAUCGAGGAAAUUCACCAGUUUCUUUUGGAUCAUAAUUUGAAGAGUACUGCUGAAGCUUUAAUUCAAGAAGCUUCAAAAAUGGGCUUCCAAAAUUUGGAAUGCAAAUUAAGAGUCAAUACAAAUCCCUAUGCUCAACUAAUGCUAUAUUACAAUAUCGGAAAUUAUUCAGUAUUUUUCCAGUUGUGGAAUGACUUGUUUUCUGACAACACUAAACAGUGUGAAGAAUAUAAAAAGUUAACAUUUUAUUUACAUGUGCAUUUUGCUAUACUUCCUAAACGCAAAUUAAAUACCCAUCAAUAUGAAGAACACGAGCUAUCAUCAGAAAUAAGUGCAUUGAAAUUGUCUUCAAUGGAAGAAGAUCCUAUUUUGGAAAAAUGCAAGGAGAACAAUACAACUGAAAUCGAAAAAAAUAUAAAUAAUAGCAUGAAACAAUUGCAAGAUUACUUAAAUGGAGAUGGCAAGGAAUUAGAACACGAUACAGAAUUGCAAUCGUUGUAUGCACUACCGUUCAUAGAAGAUCUUCAUGCAAAUGAUUUUUUCUCCAAAAUAUUAGAACAAUCUUGGAUGGAUGAACUAUCAAAAAAUUUGAAUUUAUUUAUCACUAAUCAUAAACAAGAUUUGGUUGAUUUAAAUAAUGUGAACUCUAAUAAAACACAAUCGCAGACUUUUAUACAAGUUCCUACGACACAAAAUAAGAUUACAAAAAGUAAUACACCCAUCAUACCAAACGAUAGGGAUAUGCCUACAUAUAUAAUUCUAGAAGAUCAAGAUGACGAAGAGCAUUUUUCUCACAAAAUAAGUCGCAGUUUAAAAUCGAAGAGUACACAAACACACAUUACCGGAGACCAAAUUACGAUCAAUGAUUCGCGAAGAAGUAUAUUGAAUCCGGCAGAAAGUAUUGAUAGUUUACGAAAGGCGCACAAGCUAGACAAGAGACUAGUUCAAUGCAAUCAGGAAUUGGCAUUAACCAAAACUCAGCUAUGUAGCAUUUAUACAAAUUAUGAGAAACUGAAAGUGAGGUUUCACAGACUACACGCGGAUUAUCAUAAACUGGUAAACGUUGCCGAGGAAUUAACAACAGCAUUGGAGAAUUCGGUGAAAGGACAAGCUGUUGAUAUACAACAAACGCUCGAGAUUUGCAUGAAGAUAUUUCCAGAUUUGUUCAACCAAAAUAUAAGAGAGACUUCUUAUCCAUCCUUAUUACAACUCGAUCAUACCGAUGUAAAAACAAUUGCUCUGCCUAAGUUCGACAUCGCAGCAGUAUCGAUAUCUCCACAAUUAUUGGAUUAUAAAAAAAUCAAAUUACAUUUACUUAACGCAGAUGUGAAGACGAAGCUAUUGCUAUUACAGGCAUUACGUUGGAAAAUAACGCUCGCGCAACCGGCAGAACAGGACGAAGUCCUGCACGAAUAUAUAAAUCGCGAUUUGCUGGGACUUCAUGGACAAAUUGUUAGCGACAGUGGCAAGCUAGUCCUACCAUGCUUAUUGACUGCAGGAGAAGCUUACGCCAGACAUCUUUUACAGCAGUUUACUGCACGAUUGCUAAACACACUAGCAUCUUUUAGAUGUGGAAGAGAUUAUCUAUCAGUCGGAUCCACUGUCGUAAACGUGACCUUUGCUUGUCUCGAUAAUAAUUAUACUGACGGAAUGGACUCUUUCGCGUGUGAUAUGAUGAUAGCGAUGCUACAGAAACUCUCUCUACGUAGACAGCAACGGAUAUAUAUGAUAGAAAGUGGUUUGCUGGAAUGGUUAAUCAAUCACUUACAUGAUGAAUGUCGCAUCAUAAGUUUAUACAGACUCGAAUAUGCUACUGCGCUUUUAAUGAACCUGUCGUUACAUCGAUUAGCGCAAGCCAGAGCAUCUAAGAUAUCUUCUCUACUCGUCUCUACUUUACUCAUCCUUCUCUCGAUAGAUCACGCAGCUUCACUACCAUACAUCAAUGGAGCGCUGAAUAAUUUUUUGAGUAAUCCUAUAAUCAAUGAAGAAGCGAGGAAAAUGAAACAUUACAAUACAUCGGAUUAUUUUGAUAACAAUCAACAGACAACUGCAGAAAUGAGAAAGCAUCUAGAUCAUAUAUUGAAGAUGCAGAGGAGCGAUAACGUUAAUACACCGCAGAAUGACGAAACCGGAGAUGAUGAGAAUGAACUAUUGGAUAUAUUGGAAAAUGAAUUAGACGAAAAUGACCCAUUGCAAAAUUAUGUCGGUGAAUUGAACGGAGAAACGUUACUCGCAAUGUGUUAUAGCAUUUCUUUAAAAGCUUCUCAGGAUGUUAUACUCACAGAUAGAACUUUACAAAAUAUAUCUACAGUGGAUCCCAUCGAUUUUUAUGACAAUCAAUAUGAUAAUCAUCUAUGUAGUAAACAUCCAUCAUAUCCUGCGCUAAGGUAUAAUGUCAAGAUGAAAAAUAAAAUGUUGCCGAAAGAAAGUUGUAUUAAACAAGCAGCCUUUACUAAACAAAAAAUAUCAAAUUUAUCGGAUUCCUUCUUGAAGGGAUAGCAGUGAAACCGCAUUGACAUCCUCUAUGACUCUUGUAUCCGGUCGCGAGAAUGGUCAGACAGAAAUGGAGAAAUUCAGCAGUAUAGCGUCG
rnacentral:misc_RNA from 1 species